CAGCAGCCGCGGUAAUACGUAGGGUGCGAGCGUUAAUCGGAAUUACUGGGCGUAAAGCGUGCGCAGGCGGUUAUAUAAGACAGAUGUGAAAUCCCCGGGCUCAACCUGGGACCUGCAUUUGUGACUGUAUAGCUAGAGUACGGUAGAGGGGGAUGGGAUUCCGCGUGUAGCAGUGAAAUGCGUAGAUAUGCGGAGGAACACCGAUGGCGAAGGCAAUCCCCUGGACCUGUACUGACGCUCAUGCACGAAAGCGUGGGGAGCAAACAGGAUUAGAUACCCGAGUAGUACCUGUCUCUUAUAC
rnacentral:rRNA from 1 species